rnacentral:rRNA from 1 species
GACAGAGGGUGCAAACGUUGUUCGGAAUUACUGGGCGUAAAGCGCGUGUAGGCGGCUAUGUAAGUCGGGCGUGAAAUCCCACGGCUCAACCGUGGAAGUGCACCCGAAACUGCGUAGCUAGAGUCCUGGAGAGGAAGGUGGAAUGCUUGGUGUAGAGGUGAAAUUCGUAGAUAUCUGGAGGAACACCGGUGGCGAAGGCGGCAUCCUGGACCAAUACUGACGCUGAGGAGCGAAAGCCAGGGGAGCAAACGGG